rnacentral:tRNA from 1 species
GCUGGCGUAGCUCAGCAGGUAGAGCAGCUGAUUUGUAAUCAGCCGGUCGGAGGUUCGAAUCCUCUCGCCAGCU